rnacentral:rRNA from 1 species
AACGAACGCUGGCGGCAUGCCUAACACAUGCAAGUCGAACGAGACCUCCGGGUCUAGUGGCGCACGGGUGCGUAACGCGUGGGAACCUGCCCUUAGGUUCGGAAUAACUCCCCGAAAGGGGUGCUAAUACCGGUUAAUGUCUUCGGACCAAAGAUUUAUCGCCUUUGGAUGGGCCCGCGUUGGAUUGGCUAGUUGGUAGGGUAAAAGCCUACCAAGGCGACGAUCCAUAGCUGGUCUGAGAGGAUGAUCAGCCGCACUGGGACUGAGACACGGCCCAGACUCCUAGGGAGGGGAGCAGUGGAGAAUAUUGGGCAAGGAGCGAAAGCGUAAUCAAGCAAUGCCGCGUGAGUGAUGAAGGCCUUAGGAUUGUAAAGCUCUUUUACCCGAGAUGAUAAUGACAGUAACGGGAAAAUAAGCUCCGGCUAACUCCGUG